rnacentral:lncRNA from 1 species
UUUGCAACCUGACACUGUUCAGCUUUUUUAUCUUUUACCAGUAUUUGGGGACUUAUUGGGGAUUCCUUUGAUAAUUUCAGGAAGAAAGAAGUGGAAUGGAAGGAGCCAGUAACUGUCCCAGGUCAGAAAACGCCUCUGAAAAGGAUCUACAUUACACCCAAAGUUCAUUGGAUAACUGCACCCUCAACAAUCAGGAGACAAUAAGUGGUGUAGACAGAGCUAAUAUCUUCCCCAAAUCAGAUGGUACCUCUGAAGACAUUCAGCAUUCCACAGACUGUUCACAGGUUGAGACUUUCCACAUUCAGGAGACAAUAAGUGGUACGAACCAAGCCAGUAACUGCCCCAAAUCAGAUGGUGCCUCUGAAGACAAUCAGCAUUGCACAGACAGUUCACAGCAUGACAGUAUCUUCCACAUUCAGGAGACAAUAAAGGGUAUGAACCAAGCCAGUAACUGCCCCAAAUCAGAUGGUGCCUCUGAAGACAAUCAGCAUUGCACAGACAGUCCACAGCAUGACAGUAUCUUCCACAUUCAGGAGACAAUAAAGGGUAUGAACCAAGCCAGUAACUGCCCCAAAUCAGAUGGUGCCUCUGAAGACAAUCAGCAUUGCACAGACAGUCCACAGCAUGACAGUAUCUUCCACAUUCAGGAGACAAUAAAGGGUAUGAACCAAGCCAGUAACUGCCCCAAAUCAGAUGGUGCCUCUGAAGACAAUCAGCAUUGCACAGACAGUUCACAGCAUGACAGUAUCUUCCACAUUCAGGAGACAAUAAAGGGUACGAACCAAGCCAGUAACUGCCCCAAAUCAGAUGGUGCCUCUGAAGACAAUCAGCAUUGCACAGACAGUUCACAGCAUGACAGUAUCUUCCACAUUCAGGAGACAAUAAAGGGUACGAACCAAGCCAGUAACUGCCCCAAAUCAGAUGGUGCCUCUGAAGACAAUCAGCAUUGCACAGACCGUCCACAGCAUGACAGUAUCUUCCACAUUCAGUGGCUCUUGAUGUAGAACCACCCAUAGAUCCUUCUGCAAAAGAAGUCCAGAAAUCUUCAAUUGAACAAGCAACAGAAAUAACAAGUACCACAACUACCAUGAAAGGUACUGUUUGUUAAACUUCAUAGAAAGCCUUUAUGAACUUAAAAAUCUCUGUUUUUUCUGAUGUGCUUUGUUCAUUCAGGUCGAAAGGUGGUAAAGAAAAAGAAAUGGGACAGUGAUGAAAUGAAUGCAGUUGAAAAGCAUCUAAACAGGUUCAUCAAAACUUGUACAGUGCCAGGAAAACAACAAUGUGAGGCCUGUAUAAAUGCUGAACCUGUUGCCUUGAAAGACAGGGAUUGGUUGUCUGUAAAGUUCUUUGUGAAGAACAAAAUCACUACCCUUAAAAGAAGAAUGUAAAGUCAGUUAUUUUAUUUUGUUUGGUAUCUUAUUUUCUGGUAUUUUAGAUUUCUGGUUAUUACAUUUGUUUUAAAAGGAUCUUAGAAUCUCUUUUUUUUUUUUUUUUGGAAAUGGGUGC